rnacentral:tRNA from 1 species
AAAGAAGCGACAAUCGCAAUCAGUUUCGACCUGAUCCUAGGAAAAAUCCCUUUU